GACGAACGCUGGCGGCGUGCUUAACACAUGCAAGUCGAACGGAAAGGCCCUGCUUUUGUGGGGUGCUCGAGUGGCGAACGGGUGAGUAACACGUGAGUAACCUGCCCUUGACUUUGGGAUAACUUCAGGAAACUGGGGCUAAUACCGGAUAGGAGCUCCUGCUGCAUGGUGGGGGUUGGAAAGUUUCGGCGGUUGGGGAUGGACUCGCGGCUUAUCAGCUUGUUGGUGGGGUAGUGGCUUACCAAGGCUUUGACGGGUAGCCGGCCUGAGAGGGGACCGGCCACAUUGGGACUGAGAUACGGCCCAGACUCCUACGGGAGGCAGCAGUGGGGAAUAUUGCACAAUGGGCGGAAGCCUGAUGCAGCAACGCCGCGUGCGGGAUGACGGCCUUCGGGUUGUAAACCGCUUUCGCCUGUGACGAAGCGUGAGUGACGGUAAUGGGUAAAGAAGCACCGGCUAACUACGUG
rnacentral:rRNA from 1 species